GAAGCUCUCCUAUAAUAGAAAUUAGGAACUAAUUUCAACCAUCAGAUUAAAACAAAUUGUACGGAUCAGAUGAUUUUAAUAUUUAGAAUUUUGGAUCACGUAUUUUGCUCCUCACCCCAGAUUCUCUCUCCUCCUAUCAAUCUCUCUCCUCCAUUGAAGCUACUACUCUGAUUUCUGCAUUAAAGCGGCUUUUGAGCUUUCUCUUCUCUAUUGAAGCAGCUUCUGAGUGCUUCGCGAAUUUAUAUGCGUUAUCUGCUCAUACAUCCAGUAUGUCCUCGCUUGAUGAUCGCAUUGUUCUGUGCUACUUCCAAGAAUCUGCAUCUUCUUCUUCUUCUUCAGACGAGGCUUUUAGAAGUGAUUUGAGGCAUGAGUGGAGGGAUAGCUUGGAUUUGCAAGAACGAGAGGGGUGGGUAGCAAAAACAUUAAGUGUACUGUGCUGACAAACAGCAGGCUGUAAUUAGAGCACUAGUAGAAGCCUUGAGAGAAGCAGGUGUGACUGGAAAUCAUCACAUCAAGAUAGAAACCAACAUCAAAUAUUUAAAAGUUUGUAUUAUUGCUGGAGUCAUAUUGAUGGUUUGUGUAACUAAAGUGGCAAAGACUUAAAAAGUGGACUGGGUGAAAAUGAGAAUGAAUGCCCUAUCUUGCUCCUA